rnacentral:rRNA from 1 species
CCUACGGGUGGCUGCAGUGAGGAAUAUUGGUCAAUGGCCGGAAGGCUGAACCAGCCAUGCCGCGUGAAGGUCAGUGCCCUAUGGGCGUUAAACUUCUUUUGUCCGGGAGCAAUAAUGUUCACGUGUGGCCAGACGACAUUACCGUACGAAUCAGCAUCGGCUCACUCCGUGCCAGCAGCCGCGGUCACACGGGGGGUGCAAGCGUUAUCCGGAUUUAUUGGGUUUAAAGGGUGCGUAAGCUGGGAGGUAAGUCAGCGGGGAAAUGCCCCCGCUCAACGGGGGGAAGUGCCAUUGAUACUGGCAGGCUGGAAUGCGGAUGCGGUGGGAGGAAUGUGUGGUGUAGCGGUGAAAUGCGUAGAGAUCA